AACCGUUGAAGGGAAUGGACAAAAAUGGUGGGAGCUUCCCUGCAAACCUCACAGGGGUCCUAAUGGAACGACACUGCCCGGCCCUUGCGACAGCCCAGCUUUAAUCAGGUUUUUCAUGAGCUAUAAUCUGAUGGUGGGUGACCUAACAAUUCAAAACAGACCUCAGUUCCACAUGAUAUUCCAAGGUUGCAAUGGCGUACGCAUUGAGAGACUGUCCAUACUUUCACCUGCCCUUAGUCCUAAUACAGAUGGAAUCCACAUUUAUGAUUCAAAUUCUGUCGGCAUAUACAA